UACAGAGGGGGCAAGCGUUAUUCGGAAUUAUUGGGCGUAAAGGGCGCGUAGGCGGCAUGGCAAGUGGAUGGUGAAAUCCCUCGGCUUAACCGAGGAACUGCCGUCCAAACUGCUUCGCUUGAGACCGGGAGAGGUGAGUGGAAUUCCCAGUGUAGCGGUGAAAUGUGUAGAUAUCGUAAGGAAGACCAGUGGCGAAGGCGGGUCUCUGGACAGUUCCUGACGCUGAGGCACGAAGGUCAGGGGAGCAAACGGG
rnacentral:rRNA from 1 species